AACACGUGAGUAACCUGCCCUUAACUCUGGGAUAAGCCUGGGAAACUGGGUCUAAUACCGGAUAUGACUCCUCAUCGCAUGGUGGGGGGUGGAAAGCUUUUGUGGUUUUGGAUGGACUCGCGGCCUAUCAGCUUGUUGGUGAGGUAAUGGCUCACCAAGGCGACGACGGGUAGCCGGCCUGAGAGGGUGACCGGCCACACUGGGACUGAGACACGGCCCAGACUCCUACGGGAGGCAGCAGUGGGGAAUAUUGCACAAUGGGCGGAAGCCUGAUGCAGCGACGCCGCGUGAGGGAUGACGGCCUUCGGGUUGUAAACCUCUUUCAGUAGGGAAGAAGCGUAAGUGACGGUACCUGCAGAAGAAGCGCCGGCUAACUACGUGCCAGCAGCCGCGGUAAUACGUAGGGCGCAAGCGUUAUCCGGAAUUAUUGGGCGUAAAGAGCUCGUAGGCGGUUUGUCGCGUCUGCCGUGAAAGUCCGGGGCUCAACUCCGGAUCUGCGGUGGGUACGGGCAGACUAGAGUGAUGUAGGGGAGACUGGAAUUCCUGGUGUAGCGGUGAAAUGCGCAGAUAUCAGGAGGAACACCGAUGGCGAAGGCAGGUCUCUGGGCAUUAACUGACGCUGAGGAGCGAAAGCAUGGGGAGCGAACAGGAUUAGAUACCCUGGUAGUCCAUGCCG
rnacentral:rRNA from 1 species